GGGAUGACGGCCUUCGGGUUGUAAACCUCUUUCAGCACAGACGAAGCCUUGUCUUUUUGGGUGGGGUGACGGUAUGUGCAGAAGAAGCACCGGCCAACUACGUGCCAGCAGCCGCGGUAAUACGUAGGGUGCGAGCGUUGUCCGGAAUUAUUGGGCGUAAAGGGCUCGUAGGCGGUUUGUCGCGUCGGGAGUGAAAACACCGGGCUUAACUCGGUGCUUGCUUUCGAUACGGGCAGACUAGAGGUAUGCAGGGGAGAACGGAAUUCCUGGUGUAGCGGUGAAAUGCGCAGAUAUCAGGAGGAACACCGGUGGCGAAGGCGACAUUCUGGGGCACACCUGACGCUGAGGCGCGAAAGCAUGGGUAGCGAACGGGAUUAGAAACCCCGGUAGUCCAUGCCGUAAACGAUGUAUACUAAACGUUCGCUAUGCUAAGGCAUGGUGAGUGUUAAAGCAAACGCGAUAAGUAUACCGCCUGGGGAGUACGGUCGCAAGGCUA
rnacentral:rRNA from 1 species